GGAAGUAAAAGUCGUAACAAGGUUUCCGUAGGUGAACCUGCGGAAGGAUCAUUAUCGAAUAAACUUGAACAGGUUGUUGCUGGUCCCUCGGGAUAUGUGCACGCUUGUCUCAUCUUUGUCAUUUCCCCCAACUUGUGCACAUUUUGUAGACUCUGGAGCUUUUGAAAAUAAAAUUCAGUGUUGGGACUGCUGUGCUUUCUUGUAAAGUCGGCUUUGCCUUGCCUCAGGUCUAUGUCAUUUUUAUUCACAAUCUCGUUCAGAAUGUAUCUUGAAAUGAAAUAUACAACUUUCAGCAACGGAUCUCUUGGCUCUCGCAUCGAUGAAGAACGCAGCGAAAUGCGAUAAGUAAUGUGAAUUGCAGAAUUCAGUGAAUCAUCGAAUCUUUGAACGCAUCUUGCGCUCCUUGGUAUUCCGAGGAGCAUGCCUGUUUGAGUGUCAUUUAACUUCUCAACCACACAUCUCAUGAUGGCUUGUGGCUUGGAUGUGGGGGUUGUUUGCAGGCUUUCUGUUAAUGAAGGUCGGCUCCCCUGAAAUGUAUUAGUGGUAUCUGAGGCUACUACUAUAGGUGUGGUAAUUAUCUAUGCCUUUGGUAUGCCGCAUGAACAGAUUACACUGCUUCUAACAACAACAAAAAACGAUGUUGAUAAAUUUGACCUCAAAUCAGGUAGGACUACCCGCUGAACUUAAGCAUAUCAAUAAGCGGAGGAAAUC
rnacentral:rRNA from 1 species